UAUUGAGUGACUUAACAGCACAGUGAGUCUCUUUUUCAUCACUAUCAGUAAGAUAUCCAUGAUACACCGUUCCAAAAUGUCCUGAGGAAGAUUUGAGAUGAGUAUUAAGAUUUGAGAUCUGGCCGGAGAGCAGACAUAGAGAUUGUCGGAGAUUGUAUCAAAGGAGCUGCUGCAGAGUCCAUCGAGCCAGAAUACGGAAGACUGGUGAACGUUGAGCUCGAGCCUUGGAAUGGAGGAACUGUCAUACCUACAGGAAACACAAUUUAUGUUCACUGAAGAAUGGACACUCUUUACAAAGAUGCAAGGCUGUCUCACCUCUUCUGUAGUCACCAUCAGGAGAUCUGUCAUAAUUCUCCACUGCCAAGUGAGAUGAACGCAUGGAUAGUCGAACCUGAGCAAGUGCAGCUGCCAACCAAACAAUUUUUUUUUUUUUUUACAUUCAUA